UCCGUAGGUGAACCUGCGGAAGGAUCAUUAAUAAAUGCUUCAUUGCAUCCACCUUUUGUGCACUGUAAAUAUUUCACUUGAAUUUUGUCUGACUAAUCUUUGUUCUGAAAGGAACAUAAAUUAUAAUCUAAUACAACUUUUAACAAUGGAUCUCUUGGCUCUCGCAUCGAUGAAGAACGCAGCGAAAUGCGAUAAGUAAUGUGAAUUGCAGAAUUCAGUGAAUCAUCGAAUCUUUGAACGCAUAUUGCGCUCUUUGGUAUUCCAGAGAGCAUGCCUGUUUGAGUAUUGGUACUAUGGGUGAACUUCCUUUGAAUUUUCAAAGUAAAAUCAUUUAAAACCCUAUUGAGACAUCUUGGCAAUCUUUUUUCAAGUGUCUUAAAAUUCAAUUGAAUUUUCCAUGUUCCAGUGGAAGAUGACUAGUUUAUGGAGUAAUAUGGUAAGGGUUGCCCCUGACCUGAAAAAGUGCUGUCAAAGGCUCUUUUUCUUACUUUUCUUCUAGUUGUCUUCAGCUGGAACAUGAUCUUUGAAUGCCCUUGAAGAAGACAUUCAAAAUUUUUAAUCUCAAUCUCAAAUCAGGUAGGAUUACCCGCUGAACUUAAGGCAUAUCAAUAAGGCGGGAGGGGAAGGUCGGACUGGCCAAGGGCACACAGGGGGGGAUA
rnacentral:rRNA from 1 species